rnacentral:lncRNA from 1 species
GCUCAAGCAAGUGGCGGUCCUCCUUUGAUGCUUAUCUUGGUGCUUCCUUCAAGUGGCGCUUCCUCAAGUCAUAAGUUUCCUCUUUCUCAAUCUUUUCCAUUUUUAAUUUCUCUCCAUUUCUUGUAUGCCAUUUUAGUCUAUUCAUUCUAGGCAUGCAUUUUCCCCAUCAUGUGGUAUCAUCAGCCUUAGGUUUUUUAUCAUCUUAGGAAUUGCAUGCUAGAGUAGAAUAGCUUACAUAUGUGUAAUUUUCGCUCAGCCAUUUUUUUUCCGCCCAACGUCAACGUGAUUUUUGUGUCAACUUGUACGCUUUCAUUUGAACUCAUUUCUUGUCCAAAUUGAGUGCAAUUUUUUGUCCUAGUUUCAUCUACGUGUUAGGAAUAAUUUCCAAUCAUUUAUGUUAGCUAAUUCCAUCAUUUUCUAUGCCCAUUUCAUUGUUUUCGUUCAGUACUCAUUUUCCGCAUCCAGUAAAACGUUGUUUCUAGUUCAAUUUUGAGUUCAUUUUUAAUCCGUUUUGUGUGCAAUUUUUUUUAAAAGUUUUGACUGGAUGUCUACUUUCAUGCCUAGUUUUU